GACGAACGCUGGCGGCGUGCUUAACACAUGCAAGUCGAACGGAAAGGCCCUGCUUUUGUGGGGUGCUCGAGUGGCGAACGGGUGAGUAACACGUGAUUAACCUGCCCUUUACUUUGGGAUAACUUCAGGUAACUGGGUCUAAUACCUGAUAGGAGCUCCUGCUGCAUGGUGGGGGUUGGAAAGUUUCGGCGGUUGGGGAUGGACUCGCGGCUUAUCAGCUUGUUGGUGGGGUAGUGGCUUACCAAGGCUUUGACGGGUAGCCGGCCUGAGAGGGUGACCGGCCACAUUGGGACUGAGAUACGGCCCAGACUCCUACGGGAGGCAGCAGUGGGGAAUAUUGAACAAUGGGCGGAAGCAUGAUGCAGCAACGCAGCGUGCGGGAUGACGGCCUUCGGGUUGUAAACCGCUUUCGCCUGUGACGAAGCGUGAGUGACGGUAAUGGGUAAAGAAGCACCGGCUAACUACGUG
rnacentral:rRNA from 1 species